CCGGUUUUUUAGGGUUUUUUUCCACGCUCAGAUUGAACGCUGGCGGCAGGCCUAACACAUGCAAGUCGAGCGGUAGCACAGAGAGCUUGCUCUCGGGUGACGAGCGGCGGACGGGUGAGUAAUGUCUGGGAAACUGCCUGAUGGAGGGGGAUAACUACUGGAAACGGUAGCUAAUACCGCAUAACGUCGCAAGACCAAAGUGGGGGACCUUCGGGCCUCAUGCCAUCAGAUGUGCCCAGAUGGGAUUAGCUAGUAGGUGGGGUAACGGCUCACCUAGGCGACGAUCCCUAGCUGGUCUGAGAGGAUGACCAGCCACACUGGAACUGAGACACGGUCCAGACUCCUACGGGAGGCAGCAGUGGGGAAUAUUGCACAAUGGGCGCAAGCCUGAUGCAGCCAUGCCGCGUGUGUGAAGAAGGCCUUCGGGUUGUAAAGCACUUUCAGCGGGGAGGAAGGCGGUGAGGUUAAUAACCUCAUCGAUUGACGUUACCCGCAGAAGAAGCACCGGCUAACUCCGUGCCAGCAGCCGCGGUAAUACGGAGGGUGCAAGCGUUAAUCGGAAUUACUGGGCGUAAAGCGCACGCAGGCGGUCUGUCAAGUCGGAUGUGAAAUCCCCGGGCUCAACCUGGGAACUGCAUUCGAAACUGGCAGGCUAGAGUCUUGUAGAGGGGGGUAGAAUUCCAGGUGUAGCGGUGAAAUGCGUAGAGAUCUGGAGGAAUACCGGUGGCGAAGGCGGCCCCCUGGACAAAGACUGACGCUCAGGUGCGAAAGCGUGGGGAGCAAACAGGAUUAGAUACCCUGGUAGUCCACGCCGUAAACGAUGUCGAUUUGGAGGUUGUGCCCUUGAGGCGUGGCUUCCGGAGCUAACGCGUUAAAUCGACCGCCUGGGGAGUACGGCCGCAAGGUUAAAACUCAAAUGAAUUGACGGGGGCCCGCACAAGCGGUGGAGCAUGUGGUUUAAUUCGAUGCAACGCGAAGAACCUUACCUGGUCUUGACAUCCACAGAACUUUCCAGAGAUGGAUUGGUGCCUUCGGGAACUGUGAGACAGGUGCUGCAUGGCUGUCGUCAGCUCGUGUUGUGAAAUGUUGGGUUAAGUCCCGCAACGAGCGCAACCCUUAUCCUUUGUUGCCAGCGGUUAGGCCGGGAACUCAAAGGAGACUGCCAGUGAUAAACUGGAGGAAGGUGGGGAUGACGUCAAGUCAUCAUGGCCCUUACGACCAGGGCUACACACGUGCUACAAUGGCAUAUACAAAGAGAAGCGACCUCGCGAGAGCAAGCGGACCUCAUAAAGUAUGUCGUAGUCCGGAUUGGAGUCUGCAACUCGACUCCAUGAAGUCGGAAUCGCUAGUAAUCGUAGAUCAGAAUGCUACGGUGAAUACGUUCCCGGGCCUUGUACACACCGCCCGUCACACCAUGGGGAGUGGGUUGCAAAAGAAGUAGGUAGCUUAACCUUCGGGAGGGCGCUUACCACUUUGUGAUUCAUGAUGGGUGACUACAAAAAAGAAAAGGCAAAAAAUAAACAAAAAACACCCGAAG
rnacentral:rRNA from 1 species